GGGGGGUCCUGCUUCGCUGGCCACGGCGCCCCGGAGUUUCCAAACUGAAGCAAUGACAAGCUGGGGCGGGCUGUGUGAGGUGAGGGAGAGGGUGUCGGCCUCCAGAAGGGAAACUGAGGCAGACCCUGAACUCCGAGGUCGGGCGAAGAGAGCUCUGGAACCCCAGUCUUCUGACGCGGGGGUUUUCAUUAGACCUGCGGCGCCCGAGACUUCCUGUUGUGGGACGCCCGCACAGUUGCCGUGGAAACCCGUGCUGGGCCAGGAGGUCGUGCUGCAGAUGCGGAAGGGAGAGGUCGGGACGCACUUGCUCUUCCUCCCGCGCCGCAGCUCCCGGGACACUCCACAACCCACGCCCCAGCCUGGGCAUUCCUAAGGAAUUUCCACGGGGAUCUUUUGAUCUUGGGGGGCUGGGGAGGGGACACUCAGUCCCUGCCCCGGGACAACUUUGGUAAGUUGCAGGGUGACCUCAGGGAGUUCUGGUAAAACCCUCGGAGAGGAUCUUUCUCGGGGGGUGUCACUGAGAGUCUUUUGAUCCCUACCUCUGUGCGGGAGCCUCCAGCGCUGUAAGUUUCCAUUUAUAGCCCUAAGAACGAGGCUGUUUAACUGUGUGCAGGGCACCUUCGUUCCCAGAGCUGAUAUUGGAAAAUCCUGCUGGGAUGCUCAGCUGAGCGGUGACUCCACUGCUGAGCCUGUGACUCUAAAGCUGAGCUUGUGACUGCGAUACUCAGGAGGUGGGGCAGUGAGUUCAAGGCCAGCUCCACAAGAGAGUUUGUUUUCAAAAACCAUCAACUGGGGGCUGGUUCAAUUCCCAUCACCCACAUGGCAGCUCAUAACCAUCUGUAACUCCAGUCCUAGGGGUUCAUCGGAUUGGGCACCAACAGGGACACACACGCACAGGCACAGGCACGCAUGCACGCACGCGCGCACAGCAGCUAAUGAUCCAGUUCAGUUACCAGCACCAUGUCAAGCAGCAAGCGCACAUGUGGUAUACAUGCUGACGAUGCAUUCACACAUAAAAUUAAUUUAAAACAAUAA